CUCAGUAAUGAGAAGCCACAGGGGGGUCUGGUCCCAUACAAACACCCGGUCAGGUGCAGCCACACAGGAACAGGGCGACGUGGGGCUCACACAGAACUGCGGCUCUGGGCACGUUCCCUUUGCCAGCCACGACAAACAAGCCUGUGGGCUCUGCAACGCCCACAACUACCGUGAUGGAGAGCUGGAAAGGGGGAUCUCAAAAGUGCCUCGGAGAGGGAUGAGUGCCGACGGAGGAGCUGGCACCUGGGCUCCUCUUCUGCAACAGGAGAUCUAGACACACACACACACAAAACAACCCAGCCCCUCCUGCCAGCAGCCCUGGAGAAUGUAGGCUGAGGCCUUCGGUCUUCGUGUCUGAGCAGAGGAAUUCAGGCCCAUGUAACAGCAGCUCUUGGAGCACUGGAUACUGACCUGUCACUCUGCCCCGAUCAUGUGGCGAGGCCAUGAAAUAAAGUCCGGUCUCUCCCCAGCA